UACGUAGGGCGCAAGCGUUGUCCGGAAUUAUUGGGCGUAAAGAGCUCGUAGGCGGCCAGUUGCGUCUGCUGUGAAAUCCCGGGGCUCAACCCCGGGCGUGCAGUGGAUACGGGCUGGCUAGAGGCAGGCAGGGGAGAACGGAAUUCCCGGUGUAGCGGUGAAAUGCGCAGAUAUCAGGAGGAACACCGGUGGCGAAGGCGGUGGGCUGGGCCGGCACUGACGCUGAGGAGCGAAAGCGUGGGGAGCGAACAGG
rnacentral:rRNA from 1 species